AUACUUACCUAGAGAUAGUAAAAGAGAUCAAGUAGACUUUUACUAGUUAGCCCUUAACGGCAUUGCACUUCGCUAUAAGGGUAUAAUUCCAACUUUUUUAAAGUGUGGGUCUCAUAAUUUUUGGUUU